CACUUAUCGUGGUGGGAGACAGUGUCAGGCGGGCAGUUUGACUGGGGCGGUCGCCUCCUAAAAGGUAACGGAGGCGCUCAAAGGUUCCCUCAGAAUGGUUGGAAAUCAUUCAUAGAGUGUAAAGGCAUAAGGGAGCUUGACUGCGAAACCUACAAGUCGAGCAGGGUCGAAAGACGGACUUAGUGAUCCGGUGGUUCCGCAUGGAAGGGCCAUCGCUCAACGGAUAAAAGCUACCCCGGGGAUAACAGGCUUAUCUCCCCCAAGAGUUCACAUCGACGGGGAGGUUUGGCACC
rnacentral:rRNA from 1 species